CAAUGGGCGCAAGCCUGAUGCAGCAACGCCGCGUGCGGGACGAAGGCCUUCGGGUCGUAAACCGCUUUUCUGGGGGAAGAGCAAGGACGGUACCUCAGGAAUAAGUCUCGGCUAACUACGUGCCAGCAGCCGCGGUAAAACGUAGGAGGCGAGCGUUAUCCGGAUUUACUGGGCGUAAAGCGCACGCAGGCGGCUCUGUUAGUCGGACGUGAAAGCUCUCGGCUUAACCGGGAGAGGCCGUUCGAUACUGCGGGGCUUGAGGUAGGGAGAGGAAUGCGGAAUUCGCGGUGUAGUGGUGGGAUGCGUAGAUAUCGGGAGGAACACCUGUGGCGAAAGCGGCAGUCUGGCCCUCACCUGACGCUGAGGUGCGAAAGCGUGGGUAGCAAACA
rnacentral:rRNA from 1 species